GGCGAGAUGGCCGAGUGGUCUAAAGCGCUGGUUUUAGGCACUAGUCUUUUCGGAGGCGUGGGUUGAAAUCCCACUCUCGUCA
rnacentral:tRNA from 1 species